rnacentral:misc_RNA from 1 species
UCCGGUUUGUCACCGGCAGUCUCGCAUGAGUCCCCAACUAAAUGCUGGCAACAUGCGACGGGGGUUGCGCUCGUUGCGGGACUUAACCCAACAUCUCACGACACGAGCUGACGACAGCCAUGCAGCACCUGUGCAGGGACUCCGAAGAGGGGCCGUGGUUUCUCACGGCUUUCCCCUGCAUGUCAAACCUGGGUAAGGUUCUUCGCGUUGCGUCGAAUUAAACCACAUGCACCACCGCUUGUGCGGGCCCCCGUCAAUUCCUUUGAGUUUCAGUCUUGCGACCGUACUCCCCAGGCGGAAUGCUUAUAGCGUUAGCGACGGCACCCGGGGACUAUCUAACCCCGGACACCAAGCAUUCAUCGUUUAAGGCUAGGACUAC